rnacentral:tmRNA from 1 species
GGGGAUGUAAAGGUUUCGACAGGGCUUUGUAUUCAAAGUGUAAGCAUGUAGUAGCUGAGGAAACUACUUUAAAAUUUCUCACAAAAAUAAUUAACGACGAUUAUAGUGCUUUAGCAGCAGCCUAAAACUGCUACCAGAGGAAUCUGGUUCAACUCUUAUGAAAUGUUUUCUACUGCUAAAACAUAAGGGCAAACUAAAGUAGAUAAGCAAGUCAGUAAAAACUGUUAUACUGGCUUGACGAAAAUUUUAUACAGUCCAUGAUGAUAGGUUUGCUUGUUUUGACAUCUGAAUGGUACUAAAAAUAAGAUAAACAUGUAGAAAGCUUUGUUGAGGGGUUUUGGACACGGGUUCGACUCCCGUCAUCUCCA